UGUAGAGGGAGAAGGGCCUGGCUGCAGGGCACGAGACACAGGGUACCCGAGUGGAGGAGGGCUGAGGAAAGGCAGAGGAGCUAGGGAGCUCCUGCCUGGAAAGUCCCAGGCUGCGGCCUAGCAUAAGGCCAAGAGCCUCUGCUUGCCAUCCCACCUAUAUGGACCAAGAAACUGGGAAGUCAAACUGAAGUGCACCUUUCCAAGAGGCAGAAGAAGAAAAGAGGAACUAAAAUGAAUUCUACAGUGAACUAUGGGUCUGAAGCAUGGAUAAAAUGGAUCUGGGUGGAUAAUAGAAAACGAUGCUGCACAAGGAUGGUGAAGCACUAAAUGUUGUCAG